AUGUCUCUAAAUGGGACUAUAGUGUUCCUCAUAGCAAUGAAAUGCUGGCUAAAACUUGCUGCAGGCGUGAGACUUAACAGGCUGUUCAUAAUGACUGACAAGUUCCAGCUGGAACACAGGAAAAGGGCCAAAUAUAAGAUAUUUAACUGUAAAGACCAUUCAGUGACUCGCUGGUAUGUUCUAAUCCGCAUCAAAUAUUCACCAUCUGCUUAAAGUUGUCCAGUGGUGACAGCCAUCUUUAUUCACUUUAUUCAUCAGGAAUGCCUGAGCAUUCCUGCUUUCUUCAUAAGCAUCUACAUAGAACCUCCAGAUCUUUUCUGGGACAGUAAAUGGGCUAACACCACGAUCCUUCAUGCUGUAUAGUCUCAUUGGCCUUUGGUGUCUGUGCUUGCAUUUGAGAUUGAAUUCACU
rnacentral:lncRNA from 1 species